rnacentral:rRNA from 1 species
UUGUCCCUACGGAGGCAGCAGUGGGGAAUAUUGCACAAUGGGCGAAAGCCUGAUGCAGCAACGCCGCGUGAAGGAAGAAGGCCUUCGGGUCGUAAACUUCUGUCCUUGGGGAAGAAGAACUGACGGUACCCAAGGAGGAAGCCCCGGCUAACUACGUGCCAGCAGCCGCGGUAAUACGUAGGGGGCACGCGUUAUCCGGAAUUAUUGGGCGUAAAGAGUACGUAGGUGGCAACCUAAGCGCAGGGUUUAAGGCAAUGGCUCAACCAUUGUUCGCCCUGCGAACUGGGCUGCUU